UGCACGACCAUUCAUUCAUUUAUUUGCAAAUCUCGACACCUCCACUUGUGACAGUAUUGUCUCAUUAAGGAAGGCUUUCUUUUAUCUAAUAUAUCUAAUAUAUCCCUAAUAUAUAUCUAAUAUACAUCUAAUAUACACAUGUAUUACACACACAUACAAAGUCAGUACUUCCGUUCAAAACAAAGUUGGCCUUCUGCACGUACUUCGAGGUUGACGGUAUCAACGCCCCCCUCAGCGUCCUCUCAAAACGUUUUGGAGCUAGGUAUCACAUUCCUUCUGGAAACAUCUUCAGGGCGGCCCGCAGACCUCAGCUCUAACCUGAGCAGGAGGGCCUGGGAAGGCUUCCACUUUGAAGGCUCUCAGGUCACCCCGUUCACACCCUUACGGGGAGAGAAGCCCCGCCCCCAGGGCGGAGCCCAGGCGGAGCCGCCCGCUCUCCUCCGCCUCCGAGCCUCGUCUCAGCCCCGGGUGCGCGCGGCGCAUGUGCCCGGUUCCCCCUCCCCGGCCCUGGAUUCCACUUCCCCUCCGCUCGCGCCACAGCGGCAAUCUCCAGGCCCCGCGCCGCCUCCGGAGCCCAUGGCCGGGACGCGCUGGGUGCUAGGGGCGUUGCUCCGGGGCUGCGGCUGCAACUGCAGCAGCUGCCGGCGAACCGGUGCCGCCUGCCUGCCCUUCUACUCGGCCGCCGGCACUUUCCCGUCCGGCGUCUCUGGCCGCCGCCGCCUGCUGCUACUCCUCGGGGCCGCCGCGGCCGC
rnacentral:lncRNA from 1 species